GUCUACGGCGAUACCACCCUGAACGCACCUGAUCUCGGCUGAUCUCGGAAGCCAAGCAGGGUCAGGCCUGGUUAGUACUUGGAUGGAAGAAGGAAGGCAGGAUCAGGAGGAA
rnacentral:rRNA from 1 species